GGCUGUUGUCCUGCAACGAACAUCUUUCAUCUUGAUUUCUUAAUUGUUUCGCUUUUCAUAGUCUUUGGUUACACAGUUAUUAGAUGAUCUUGAACAUUAGAACUGCAAAUUGGCAUUAGUGGUACGUUAUAGCUAAGAAUGGAGUUGGCUAUUCUGGUGGUAUAGUCACCCCCGAUUUUGGGUUGGACUUUACUCAACCUCUGCAUAAAGGAAGACAUUUCCAUGGAAGAUGUCGCGUCUGGCAAGUUCGAAAGGUGUUCAUCUCGUCCCGACGGGGCUCUUCAGCUAUUCUUGGUGACCAACAUUUUCUAGAACUAUCCUAAGGGAAGUGAACGGACGUUUUCUCUGGAGACAAUCGAGACGCACGAGACGAGUUCGUUUUGAACAUAAUUCCUGGGAAGGAAGGAAACCACAAACUCCACCGUCGGCAGCCGUUCGUUCUUGUGAUGGUGGAAUCGUUUUCAUCCAACACCGUCCAUGAUGAUAACUGAAGGCGUUACAUCCACUUCUGUCCAUGCACAAUCUGCCGCAUUUUUCACCUUCUAUCAUUUCACUUCCGAUGUCAGCACCUGGGAAAUCGCAAUCUGGAAGCCAAGCGACAUCACCAUCGCCGAUAUGCCAUUUGGCUCGAUCGUUUUCGCCAUGAACGGCAGGUGAUCUGGAUUUCCAGGCAACGAGGUUAAGACGAGGAAUCGAUGGCGAAUCACAGUCUACGAUCGGGUUGCUAUGUGUUCAAUUGAUCUUUAAAAGAAAAUGUUGAUUUUGAAUAAUGAAUUUUCGAAUGUUACAGGUUAGAAACGGAUUUGAAGAGCAAUGGUUGAAUAGUUUUGACAUGGCUGUUGUCGCAGACGAGACGGGCUAAACUCGUUUUACGGAUUUCCUUCAAUUGUUCUGUAGAUUGCAGAAUUUUAAUUAAUGAAUGAACACGUCUAAUGAGGGAGGAAAUUGACCUGGAGUGAAUGAGCCGGAUUGUCCGCCGAGAUCGUAGAAAUAGCGAUCACCGCGUUUGAGUUUUAGAAACUGAUCGGCUAUGAGGCACUGGAAUGUUGGACCGACCAGAGCACCUGCAACCGGAUGUUCGGAUAUGCCUGCGAUGAACAGGUCGAUAUCGUCGACAGACUCGUACAACGAUUUGAAUUUAUCUACAAUCUGAUGAAUAUUUUGCAUUUUAAAUAAUCUACUCAAUGGAUUUCAGGUUAACGUCAAUUCUCACCUGGCUGGAAAUGUGAUCGUGAAGAUCGUCGAAACUAUGUGCCUUUUUAAGGCCGCACAGAGCGCGAUAAGCAUUGUAUCCAGACAGACAUACCGUGAUCUCGGCCUCGUUGAAUAUUAAUAGACAUCAAAUCUAAUCCGAAACCUUUGCCUUCCUCUUCGAACAAGUGAAAAGACGAACCUCGUCAGUAACGAUGUUGUCCACCUUUUGAUCGGGUUGAGUUGCCAAACCGAUUAAGAAUUUGUCCAGGUUACCAGGUGUGUACACGGUUUGUGAUUUGAAAAAGUGUUGGCUCAAACGAAUCGAAUCGGCACGUUUCCUCUCGCGAUCGAACAACCUAAAGUGAGUUAAUUAUUCAAUAAUAAUCAGAUAAUGGAAUACUUGAACUAAUUGAAUACAGGUGGAUUCCUUGGACGAGCGAAUGUCCAAAACGGAAAGCUGCACCGGCAAAUUCGUUCGCGAUGGAUGGAUUGACUUUGGCAUCGUAAUCUUGGCUGAAUCCAUUUUGGAUUGGUAAAAGACCGAGCUGUUCCAUUUUACUUUUCCCGAUGACGAUGGGCAGCCAUUCGUUGUAGGUGAUGUGCUGCAUUUGAGCGAUCAAAAUACGUCGAGCUUCUUGAUAGAGUUGCUCAUCGUUCAAGUGCAUGUGCUGGCCGGACAAGGUCCUCACGAUUCGAUUGUGCUCGCGUAAAAAGACAGUGUGGGCCACAGCCAAGUUCGGCGUGAUGUUCGAUCUGGGGUCACCUGCGUUGAAACAUUUGACGUGAUUGGGUGGGUCGAUACCUGACACAGCUUUCGAUAACGUGCAAGGAUCUUUGGCACUGUUAUCGGGUGGUAGUAAGUCCAUCUUGUGAUGACCAGCUGGCAAUUUCCAGUUGUGAGUCACGUCCAGUCGGCCUUUAUCUGUUGUCGAUCGCAAUUGUUGGGCGUGUGUGUCAUCGGAGCCGUACACUUGGGAUGCGUCCAAGAAAUGAGUGUUAUCAUUCAUCUGCAUGGAAAUUGGUUAAUCGAAGAAUGUUGUGUGGAAUACGAGGAUUAAUUAGACCUGUUCCGCAAAACCCAAUCUGCAAUCGGACCUGCGUGCGGGAGCUGAACGGACAAAAGACAUGCAGCGUCGACCAAACUUGGAGAAAAAUGGAUCGUUUUCUGGAAUUUUGAUUGGAUUGCAUUCUGGAUGGACUACGUCUUCGUCAAUGAAGCGUCCGUUUGGCGUACAACACUCGAUGUCCGUCAAGUUGUCUUUUGGUUUUUUGUUCAAUGAAUAUUAGAUUAGAUAUUUUCGACAGUGAAACAUUUCAAUCUAAAAUCUUACCCAUUUUUGAUUGGACAUUUUGCGUGAUGUCGUGGUCGAGAAACUGACCAAAUUGUGUGACCCAAUAAGUGUUUGUCGAAUGGAUGUGGUCGUUGUUAUCGCGGAUGAUGGAUGUAGACACUAACCGGGCGCUGGAAAUGGAGAGAAUCAGUUUGGGUAAUUGAUAUAUUAAAAGAAAAAGUCUUUUCAAUUUACCUAGAUAAUUCCUUAUUAUUUUUGGCCCGUCGUGGUUCUCGCACACCUGUUCCAGAGAGAGAAUAGUAAUAAAUACGUAUAAUCUUAAGGGAUAAUGAAAAAAAAAAAAAUUACACACCGUCGGCAUACACAGGUAAGAGGGUGCGUUGAAAUUGGGUGCGAGAUUUGCCCCAAGUGGGAUUUUGGAUAUUAUUGCACGAACCAUCUAAUGUUCUAAAAGGGGAAUUUCUUGUUCUAUCACUGCAAGCAGGAAUAGUUGGACAAUUGAUCGUGAAUGGACUCAACGCAGAAGCCACCUGAUUCGGUUUAAGUCCAACCCUAAUUGGCAAAUGUCAUCAUGGAUGUUUACAUGUAAAAAUGAAAAGAACUAAAUUAUUGGUUACCUCUUCGUAAGUUCUUGGGCUGUGUAAACGUCAACGAGUGCUUCAAGAUUGAUUUUCUGUGUCUCGUGUGUCGUGUGGAAGACGAGUGAAUGGGCUGCAGAAGAAGAGCCCGCCAAUACCACGAUAUUAUUAGAGAUAAGUCCUUUUUCUACUAUGCCCAGUGAUUGAAACAGAGAAUGACUAGCUUCUUUCGCAGCACCCAGUUGAGAUUGAAGUUUGGAUUCCAAUUGUAAAUCGUCAUUCGUCCCGUAAUUGGGCUGUUCAAAAUAUUUGCCAUUGUGUCCUGGUUUGACGUUAAAUUGAAUUGAAUUUCAGUCCUUUUGAAUGACAAAGUAAUAAUGAAAUAUACUGUUAUGUGGAAGAUCAGGACAACAGGAUCCAGGACUUUUCCCGUCAGACAAGGUGCAGGAUGUUCCAGGUGUGGUCAGAACCAAAUCGUACCAAGCGGCACAUUCGACAAUCGGUCUGCAUAUCGAUUGUAAACCACCAACAUUUGGACAAGGGUUUCUCCAGGGUACGAAACCACACAUACCACCGUUCGUCGCUGUACGGGGCGUGGAUAGUGGCAUUUUUUUAAUGAAACAAAUCCCGUUGAUGAAACGAAAAUGAUUGCAUUCGGGAUUGGCCAGGCAGAGGCUGCCACAUUGUUCUCCAGUACCGGCUUGUUGUCCAAUGUCGUUUCCGAAAAAGUCACAAUUGAGAAGCCAUUUGAGACCACCGUUGUCAGUGUUCCAAUGGUCUCGCCCUGUACAAUAAGUUUGACUUCAUUCACAAAAGAAGAUAAGUACAUUUUAAAAAAAUUAUACCUGGUUGGAAUUUCCAGGGGACAAAGCCACAGGCGACAUUGCUGUCGGCCUUGAGGGAAACGUGAGGCGUAGAUAAAGGUGCAGCUUUCAAUAAACAUUUCCCUCUGGCAUGAGUAAAGUGAGUACAUUCAGGCUUGGCUAUGCAAAUCGUCCCACACUGCUCCCCUGGACUUUCGAUUUCGUCAAUGUCAAAGCCAGGAAAAUCACAAUCCAUUCGCCAUUUAACAUCCCCACCGCCAUUGUUCCAACCUUCAGUGCCACUGAUACGCCAGGGCGAGUUCAGGAGCAGCAAAAUGACGCAGAUUACAGAGGCAGAGGGAAUCAUCUAAAUGUUAAUAUGGGGCCUGAAAGUCAAAAUUUGGUCGUUUUUCUACAACUAAAGCUCUGUCGAGGUAGCUCUGAAGAUGUGGUUUCAUUCGUUCCCAGAUAACGACCGGAUUUUUAAAAAAACCACGGUUCAAGGAAAUGUCCUCA